rnacentral:rRNA from 1 species
GACGUAGGGGGCCAGCGUUGUUCGGAAUUACUGGGUGUAAAGGGUGCGUAGGCGGCGCGGUAAGUCGGGUGUGAAAUCUCGGGGCUUAACUCCGAAACUGCAUUCGAUACUACCGUGCUUGAGGACUGGAGAGGAGACUGGAAUUUACGGUGUAGCGGUGAAAUGCGUAGAUAUCGUAAGGAAGACCAGUGGCGAAGGCGGGUCUCUGGACAGUUCCUGACGCUGAGGCACGAAGGCCAGGGGAGCAAACGGG